rnacentral:rRNA from 1 species
UGGCGGCAGGCCUAACACAUGCAAGUCGAACGCUGAAGCAAUGAAGAGUGGCAGACGGGUGAGUAACGCGUGGGAACCUUCCCAGUGGUACGGAAUAGCCCAGGGAAACUUGGGGUAAUACCGUAUAAGCCCUUAGGGGGAAAGAUUUAUCGCCAUUGGAUGGGCCCGCGUCGGAUUAGCUUGUUGGUGAGGUAAAAGCUCACCAAGGCGACGAUCCGUAGCUGGUCUGAGAGGAUGAUCAGCCACACUGGGACUGAGACACGGCCCAGACUCCUACGGGAGGCAGCAGUGGGGAAUAUUGGACAAUGGGCGCAAGCCUGAUCCAGCCAUGCCGCGUGAGUGACGAAGGCCCUAGGGUUGUAAAGCUCUUUUGGCGGGGACGAUAAUGACGGUACCCGCAGAAUAAGCUCCGGCUAACUUCGUGCCAGCAGCCGCGGUAAUACGAAGGGAGCUAGCGUUGUUCGGAAUCACUGGGCGUAAAGCGCACGUAGGCGGAUUUGUUAGUCAGGGGUGAAAUCCCGGGGCUCAACCUCGGAACUGCCUUUGAUACUGCAAGUCUGGAGUCCGGAAGAGGUGGGUGGAAUUCCUAGUGUAGAGGUGAAAUUCGUAGAUAUUAGGAAGAACACCGGUGGCGAAGGCGGCCCACUGGUCCAGUACUGACGCUGAGGUGCGAAAGCGCGGGGAGCAAACAGGAUUAGAUACCCUGGUAGUCCACGCCGUAAACGAUGGAUGCUAGCUGUCGGCAAGCUUGCUUGUCGGUGGCGCAGCUAACGCAUUAAGCAUCCCGCCUGGGGAGUACGGCCGCAAGGUUAAAACUCAAAGGAAUUGACGGGGGCCCGCACAAGCGGUGGAGCAUGUGGUUUAAUUCGACGCAACGCGAAGAACCUUACCAGCUCUUGACAUGUCCGGACGGUUUCCAGAGAUGGAUUCCUCCCAGCAAUGGGUCGGAACACAGGUGCUGCAUGGCUGUCGUCAGCUCGUGUCGUGA